GGAGUUCUGGCAGACUGGGUGUAUGCACCGGACUGAAAAUCCGGAGAACGUGGUUCAACUCCACGGGACUCCA
rnacentral:tRNA from 1 species